rnacentral:rRNA from 1 species
AUUGAACGCUGGCGGCAGGCCUAACACAUGCAAGUCGAGCGGAUGAGGGAAGCUUGCUUCCCGAUUUAGCGGCGGACGGGUGAGUAAUGCCUAGGAAUCUGCCUAUUAGUGGGGGAUAACGUUCCGAAAGGAACGCUAAUACCGCAUACGUCCUACGGGAGAAAGUGGGGGAUCUUCGGACCUCACGCUAAUAGAUGAGCCUAGGUCGGAUUAGCUAGUUGGUGAGGUAACGGCUCACCAAGGCGACGAUCCGUAGCUGGUCUGAGAGGAUGAUCAGCCACACUGGAACUGAGACACGGUCCAGACUCCUACGGGAGGCAGCAGUGGGGAAUAUUGGACAAUGGGCGGAAGCCUGAUCCAGCCAUGCCGCGUGUGUGAAGAAGGUCUUCGGAUUGUAAAGCACUUUAAGUUGGGAGGAAGAGUUGUAAGCUAAUAUCUUGCAGCUUUGACGUUACCAACAGAAUAAGCACCGGCUAACUCUGUGCCAGCCGCCGCAGUAAUAC